rnacentral:rRNA from 1 species
ACCCGGAGAACUGAAACAUCUUAGUACCCGGAGGAAGAGAAAGAAAAUUCGAUUCCCUUAGUAGCGGCGAGCGAAACGGGAAGAGCCCAAACCAACAAGCUUGCUUGUUGGGGUUGUAGGACACUCUAUACGGAGUUACAAAGGACGACAUUAGACGAAUCAUCUGGAAAGAUGAAUCAAAGAAGGUAAUAAUCCUGUAGUCGAAAAUGUUGUCUCUCUUGAGUGGAUCCUGAGUACGACGGAGCACGUGAAAUUCCGUCGGAAUCUGGGAGGACCAUCUCCUAAGGCUAAAUACUCUCUAGUGACCGAUAGUGAACCAGUACCGUGAGGGAAAGGUGAAAAGCACCCCGGAAGGAGAGUGAAAUAGAACCUGAAACCGUGUGCUUACAAGUAGUCAGAGCCCGUUAAUGGGUGAUGGCGUGCCUUUUGUAGAAUGAACCGGCGAGUUACGAUUUGAUGCAAGGUUAAGCAGUAAAUGUGGAGCCGUAGCGAAAGCGAGUCUGAAUAGGGCGUUUAGUAUUUGGUCGUAGACCCGAAACCAGGUGAUCUACCCUUGGUCAGGUUGAAGUUCAGGUAACACUGAAUGGAGGACCGAACCGACUUACGUUGAAAAGUGAGCGGAUGAACUGAGGGUAGCGGAGAAAUUCCAAUCGAACCUGGAGAUAGCUGGUUCUCUCCGAAAUAGCUUUAGGGCUAGCCUCAAGUGAUGAUUAUUGGAGGUAGAGCACUGUUUGGACGAGGGGCCCCUCUCGGGUUACCGAAUUCAGACAAACUCCGAAUGCCAAUUAAUUUAACUUGGGAGUCAGAACAUGGGUGAUAAGGUCCGUGUUCGAAAGGGAAACAGCCCAGACCACCAGCUAAGGUCCCAAAAUAUAUGUUAAGUGGAAAAGGAUGUGGCGUUGCCCAGACAACUAGGAUGUUGGCUUAGAAGCAGCCAUCAUUUAAAGAGUGCGUAAUAGCUCACUAGUCGAGUGACACUGCGCCGAAAAUGUACCGGGGCUAAACAUAUUACCGAAGCUGUGGAUUGUCCUUUGGACAAUGGUAGGAGAGCGUUCUAAGGGCGUUGAAGCAUGAUCGUAAGGACAUGUGGAGCGCUUAGAAGUGAGAAUGCCGGUGUGAGUAGCGAAAGACGGGUGAGAAUCCCGUCCACCGAUUGACUAAGGUUUCCAGAGGAAGGCUCGUCCGCUCUGGGUUAGUCGGGUCCUAAGCUGAGGCCGACAGGCGUAGGCGAUGGAUAACAGGUUGAUAUUCCUGUACCACCUAUAAUCGUUUUAAUCGAUGGGGGGACGCAGUAGGAUAGGCGAAGCGUGCGAUUGGAUUGCACGUCUAAGCAGUAAGGCUGAGUAUUAGGCAAAUCCGGUACUCGUUAAGGCUGAGCUGUGAUGGGGAGAAGACAUUGUGUCUUCGAGUCGUUGAUUUCACACUGCCGAGAAAAGCCUCUAGAUAGAAAAUAGGUGCCCGUACCGCAAACCGACACAGGUAGUCAAGAUGAGAAUUCUAAGGUGAGCGAGCGAACUCUCGUUAAGGAACUCGGCAAAAUGACCCCGUAACUUCGGGAGAAGGGGUGCUCUUUAGGGUUAACGCCCAGAAGAGCCGCAGUGAAUAGGCCCAAGCGACUGUUUAUCAAAAACACAGGUCUCUGCUAAACCGUAAGGUGAUGUAUAGGGGCUGACGCCUGCCCGGUGCUGGAAGGUUAAGAGGAGUGGUUAGCUUCUGCGAAGCUACGAAUCGAAGCCCCAGUAAACGGCGGCCGUAACUAUAACGGUCCUAAGGUAGCGAAAUUCCUUGUCGGGUAAGUUCCGACCCGCACGAAAGGCGUAACGAUUUGGGCACUGUCUCAACGAGAGACUCGGUGAAAUCAUAGUACCUGUGAAGAUGCAGGUUACCCGCGACAGGACGGAAAGACCCCGUGGAGCUUUACUGUAGCCUGAUAUUGAAAUUCGGCACAGCUUGUACAGGAUAGGUAGGAGCCUUUGAAACGUGAGCGCUAGCUUACGUGGAGGCGCUGGUGGGAUACUACCCUAGCUGUGUUGGCUUUCUAACCCGCACCACUUAUCGUGGUGGGAGACAGUGUCAGGCGGGCAGUUUGACUGGGGCGGUCGCCUCCUAAAAGGUAACGGAGGCGCUCAAAGGUUCCCUCAGAAUGGUUGGAAAUCAUUCAUAGAGUGUAAAGGCAUAAGGGAGCUUGACUGCGAGACCUACAAGUCGAGCAGGGUCGAAAGACGGACUUAGUGAUCCGGUGGUUCCGCAUGGAAGGGCCAUCGCUCAACGGAUAAAAGCUACCCCGGGGAUAACAGGCUUAUCUCCCCCAAGAGUUCACAUCGACGGGGAGGUUUGGCACCUCGAUGUCGGCUCAUCGCAUCCUGGGGCUGUAGUCGGUCCCAAGGGUUGGGCUGUUCGCCCAUUAAAGCGGUACGCGAGCUGGGUUCAGAACGUCGUGAGACAGUUCGGUCCCUAUCCGUCGUGGGCGUAGGAAAUUUGAGAGGAGCUGUCCUUAGUACGAGAGGACCGGGAUGGACAUACCUCUGGUGUACCAGUUGUCGUGCCAACGGCAUAGCUGGGUAGCUAUGUGUGGACGGGAUAAGUGCUGAAAGCAUCUAAGCAUGAAGCCCCCCUCAAGAUGAGAUUUCCCAACUUCGGUUAUAAGAUCCCUCAAAGAUGAUGAGGUUAAUAGGUUCGAGGUGGAAGCAUGGUGACAUGUGGAGCUGACGAAUACUAAUCGAUCGAAGACUUAAUCAA